AAAAUAUCAUCCACAUGUCAUUAUAAUUAAUGGAACAACUCACUCCCUCCUCCUAUAUGUCAUAACAUUCUCUUAAAGGGGUUGAAGUUCGGUUUGUAAUGUAAAUAUCGUCCACUCUAUACCUAAUAGGUCAUCAAAAAUUAAAAAAGCGUCUACACGAUUAAAAGGAGAGCCCGUUCCUCUAAAUCGAGAUAGGAUAUUACAAUAAUACUAUCAUUUUCACUUGUUUUUACUCUACAAAUGGAUGAAACUCACUCACUUCCAUGUUUCACAAACAACCAGAAAAUCUUCAUCUUGUGAAAGGGCCACACCAUUUGCAAAGGCCAGGUUAUCAAGUAGUAUAGAUGUCUCAUUCAACAGAGGAUCAUACUUGAGAAGUUGCCCGUGAGGCUUUGCCUCAAGCACGUCCAAGUACCAGUCAUGGAGUCCAAAUUUUGAGCUUGCAACGCUGAAAUACAGGCUCCCAUCUGAUGCUUCAAUCACAUCGUCCGCAAACCUGAUCCAACCAUUCUUCAUUUUUCCAAUAAAUCAAAGAUUAUAUGGACCACUACAUCAUAAAGGGAUGAAGGGUAUAAUUAUAUCAAAGGCAAGGACUUUACUGAGAGAAGAGAUCCAUGUAUAUUGAAUGCCUUGGUCCCAAAGGGGAGCUGAAUAAAAACACUUCAACACUGAUCCCACCAUAAAGCAAUGGUCCCAAAAAUAAAUAAAUAAAUUAUGAGGAGACAAAUGGAAGUUGUAACAGAUGCUUGAAUUUAUUUUUAUGGCCUUCACGCCAUCGCUUGUUUGGGGUGUAAGAUGAUGACAAAUGCUAGUAUUACCGUGUGUCAGGGUUUGGAAAAAAUAUAACUUAUUCUAUGUAAAAGAAUCUUUCAAAUAGAUCCUUAAAAAAAAUAAAAUUCCAAAUUAGUACUUUUCAUACAUAAGCAUCCACAAAAACUAUAGCAGACUGAUUUUGAUUUUUUUUUAUUUUUUUUAAUAUGAACAAAAAUAAUUACAUUUUUAUCUUUUUGAAAAAAAUUCAAAUCUACAAUCUCCAACGUUUUGAACUUAAGAUCGAAAACCUACUUCGUAACUACAAUUUAAUUACCAUGGACUUUAAUUUCUUCCAAAUUAAGCAUAUAUAGCUGAACUUUUGGGCAUGCUACGAUUGGAAAUUAAUGAAGAAGUGAUACCUGAUCUCGGACCCAUUAACAUGUGAUGUAAGAAGAGACACUCCAUCUUCUCCAACCUUAAGAAGACCCUGCAAAUCACAACAAUCAAUUUCAGUUAUCUGGCGUCAGGACCGAAAGAACAGAGCAGCUCAUGAAAGUUGGGGAAGGCCCAAGUCCCAAACCCACCUUGUUCUCACUCAGAAAUGGCCAAUAUUUUUGAGAAAUUACAAGUUUGCAAGCAAGUCUAACCUUCUGGGUGUCACAUACAACGAUGCCACCAGUCCUUGUGGUGGUGACUCCUAGUAAGGUAUCACCUCCAAUCAGCCUCCAAUCUUCCCAUGAUCCAUUUCUAUGCAAUCUUUUGAUCCACCCAUCUCUUGUGGCUGUAUACAGUAUGCCCUCUCCAUCAAAACAAACAUCUUCUGGUUUGUCCAGUAAUCCUUCUCCAAUUUUAGCCACUUCCUUUAAAAAAAAAAAAAACCCAAACAGUAAAACAGAUAUUGUCUAUAUAUAAAGCUUCAAACACAGAGCAAAGGAGGAAAACGGGGGUACCUGUAACUUGUUGCUCGUGGGAUAAUUGAGGGUAGCUGAAACAUGAGGAAGGUGAAGUGGGUCUGGGGAUAUGGGUGAGAAGAAGUAGAUUUGAAGUGUGAAAGCAAGUGUGGAGGCCAGAGCAAAGCUUGAACAUGCCUGCAGGCAGUGUUUUGAGGGUCUAAAGCCAUUAUUGCCGGUCAUAGCUAAAGGUUUGAUGAGGAGACUGCGUUUUUGGUUGAGCGUUGAUAAGGAUGUGAAAGGCUCGGGGAUCUCGAAGUAAAGUAUAUAUCUGGAAAAAAAAAUUAGCAAGUUUGUCAGUGUCAGGCCUUCUGCUCUCAAGUCUAGUAAUUUAACACGGAAAAGUUUGUUUUUAUGUGGACCUUUUUUUAAAUAUAUAUAUAUAUAUAUAUAUAUAUAUAUAUAUAUUAGAAAAAAAAAUAAUACUCUAAAAAGAAUAGAAAUUUUAUGAACUCUUUCAUUAAAUUAAAAAUAGCAUCCAUUUAAAUGAAAGUAGUAAUGCAUCCUGGGUCUCACUAAGCUGCCCGUCAAAGUCCAGAGUGUCACUCUUGUUUAAUCUGAGAUAGUAUCUCUUCCUAAAUGGCUCUGCCCAGACAUCCAAGAUUUUAAAGCAUAAAUUGAAAGACAUAAAACAAAGAGAGAAUAAAUGGAGAUUGAAAAGAUGUCUUACAUUCAAGCUGAAAGAUAAAGUUGAUACAAGCUCACACUAAGAACACCAAGAACACUCACUCACUUCAAGCUUUAGGAAGAACUUAAAAAUAACUAAGAGAGGUGUACUAGUUCCUAAAGCGCUUUUGGAUCAAAGUAGUAAUGUAACAUGAUAUCAGAACCCUAAUUUAUAGGAAAUUAUGAGUUCAAGUCCCAUUGAUUGUUUAUUUCAUACUGUUAUUUCCAGAUGGAAAUGCAGGCAAGAAGAAAAUACAAACAGAGAAAACAGAGAGAAUGGAGAGAAAAGAAAGCAGAGAAUAUUUUGGAAUUCUAGCACAAGCACAAAAUGAGCCGGAGACAAAUUUAUAUAGUGUAGGAAAGGUAAAACCAACCAUACACGUGGUAGGACCUGAUACAAAGUAACAUUUCCUACGGCUGAGCAUAACUAAUUGCAUUGUUUAACAUCCCCCCACAAGCGAAGAGGGUUGUGAAGCACAGUCAACUUGUUUCGUAGACUUUGAAAGUGAGGUGUAGGCAACGACUUGGUCAGGAUGUUUGCAAGUUGCCCUUCAGAAGGUGUAAAUUUGACCAAUAAGGGUUUAUGGAGCACACGAUCACGAAUGAAAUGAUAAUCAAUUUCAAUGUGCUUUGUAUGAACAUGUAAAAUGGGAUGAGCAGCAAGAUAUGUGGCGUUGAGAUUAUCACAAAAGAGGACUGGGGGAGUAAAGAACAAAAUGUGUAGUUCAGUGAGAAGUGUUUCAAUCCAAAUAAGUUCUGAAGCGGCAUUAGCAAGGCCUUUGUAUUCGGACUCAACACUUGAAUGAGAAACAACUUUUUGUUUAGUAUAAGACCAGGAAAUCAAAUUAGGGCCAAGGAAACAAUAGUGGCCACUUGUACUUUUCUGAUCAUCCGGGUAGUCAGCCCAAUCAACAUCAAUAUAACAAGUGAGAGAGAGAUCAGUAGAUGGUUGAAGAGAAAUGCCAUGAGAAAUUGUACUCUUGAGAUAGCAAAGAAUCCUCUUAACAGCUUGCCAAUGAGUUGUGGUCGAAGAAUGCAUGAAUUGGCAGACCUUGUUGACAGAAAAAUUAAUGCCUGGUCGGGUGAUGGUACAAUACUGUAGAGCCCCCACAAUUCUGUGGUACAAAGAUGGAUUCGAAAGAGGCUCACCAUCAUACAAGGACAAGGAAGAUGAGGUGCUCAUAGGAGUAGAAGCAUGCUUACAGUCAAACAUUUGAGCUCGAUAAAGGAGAUCAGUAAUGCACUUGUGUUGACAUAGAUGCAAGGAUGAUGGAGUACGAGUAACUUGAAUGCCCAAAAAAUAAGAGAGAGACCCCAAAUCCUUGAGAGCAAACUGAUUAUGUAGUUGGUCAAUCAAGGAGUUCACCAAGAUAGAGUGACUACCUGUGAUAAUAAUAUCAUCCACAUAAAUCAACAAAAUAAUAAUGGAGGAUCCUUUGUUGGAGAAGAACACCGAAGUAUCAAAUUUGGAGCCUUGGAAACCACACUUCAACAUAUAAGUACUGAGCUUUGUAUACCACGCAUGAGGACUUUGUUUAAGGCCAUAUAAAGCCCUGUUCAACUUGCAAACAUAGCAUAGAUUAGUAGCACUGAUAAAACCAGGAAGUUGCUCCAUGAAAACAGUUUUUGAUACAACUGUUUGAUGGGGCAUUGAAGAGAAAUCGCUAAACUUAAAACAAUUCAGAUAGUAGUGGGCUUAACAAUUCGGCUAAAGGUUUCAAAAUAAUCCAAGCCAAGUGUCUUUUGAAAACCUUUAACAACUAACCGGGCUUUAUAUCUUUCAAGGGAGCCAUCUGGUUUGAGCUUGACCUUAAAGACCCACUUGCAGCCAAUUACUUUGUGAUUAGGUGGUAGAGACAUCAAUGUCCAAGUAUCAUUUCUAAUAAGGGCUUCAUAUUCUGUAGUCAUAACCCUUUGUCAAUGAUUAUAUUUGACUGCUUGGUGAAAAGAGGUAGACUCAAAAAGAGCAAGAUCAGUAGGAAAGUCAAGUGCUGCCACAAGGGUUUUAGGUUUAUAAAUUCCAGCCUUGGAUCUAGUCAUCAUGGGAUGAGUGUUGGUGGGAGGUGGGGGUGAUGGAGAACAAAUUCUGGUAAGUCAGUAGGUACAGCAAAUGGAAUUGGACGUAUUGAAGUAGUGGGAUGAGUGUCUUGUGAGAAACGAGGAGAGAGAGAUGUGGGAGGAGAAGAAAGAGAAUGAGAAGACAAUGGGAAUGUAGAUUGAUGAAGGGAAGGAGAAGAAGAAAAAGAAGGUAAAAUAGAAUUGGGAUGUGGAGUGGUUGAGGAAGGAAAGUAGUGUUUGACAUUUUUGGCUUUGAUACCAAGAUGGAAAUGCAGGCAAGAAGAAAAUCGAAACAGAUAAAACAGAGAGAAUGGAGAGAAAAGAAAGCAGAGAAUAUUCUGGAAUUCCAGCACAAGCACAAAAUGAGCCGGAGACAAAUUUAUAUAGUGUAGGAAAGGUAAAACUAACCAUACACGUGGCAGGACCUAAUACAAAGUAACAUUUCCUACCGCUGAGCAUAACUAAAUACAUAACUAAUUGCAUUGUUUAACAUUUCCGAACUUAUUAUGAUGACAGGCCGGGGAUCGAAAAUCCCUUGUUUCGGCUUUUCCAAAUCUUGUUCUUCCUAAAUUGAAACAUCAAGCAGCUUUGAGUGGUAAUUUUCCUAUGAAGUUGGUGUUGAGACUUCCCAAAUAGAGAUGGUCCUCAAACUCCAAAGCUGAUGUCACAAAGGACAUAACCUUCCCAUUAGGAUCAUCAAACUUGUCGACUAUCUUCCCAUCAGCUGCAACUUUCACUACCGUUGCCUUCUCAUUCGAGCCGUUAACUAACUGGAACAGUUUCGGAAAUGUUGCCAGGAAGUGCUUUAAUGCCUUGGAAGCGUGCACAAACUCAAAACCAUCAGAAGCCAACUGUACAACAACAAUACUUGUUAGCUUUCUCAUUCCACACCCGUUUCUAGCUUUAAUUGGGGACUUUUAAAUGGUGAUACAAUACAAUUUCACUACAGCAAAUAGUAAUAUUUUCUGGGCUUUCUUAUUAAGCUCCUUUUUAAAAUAUAAGCUCUUUCAAUAAAACUAAUUAAGUAUAAAAACUUUUAUUAAGCUUAAAAAUGGGUUUUUGACUUUUGGUGUCAACCAGACAUUAACUGCUUUUCACAAUUUGAGUGUUUACAUACCUUAAUUAAAGCGAUCCAAAACGACCCGUCGGGGGCAAGAUUGAUGUUAUCAGGUCCAUUGGGAAGGUUGUCGAUAAAAGUUUCGGUUCUUCCUUUCCUCUCCCCCUUCAGCCAAUACUUUAGACACCUAAAUCUGACACACAACACAUGAUCAUAAAGAGAAUUAGCAUUUUUUUUUUUUGGGGGGUGUUAACAACAUUCACUCACUUCCAUGUCUCGCAAACAACCAGAAAAUCUUCGUCUUGUGAAAGGGCCACGCCAUUGGGAAAGGCCAGGUUAUCAAGUAUUAUAGAUGUCUCAUUCAAUAGAGGAUCAUAUUUGAGAAGCUGCCCAUGAGGCUUUGCCUCAAGCAGGUCCAAGUACCAGUGAUGGAGUCCGAAUUUUGAGCUUGCAACGCUGAAAUACAGGCUCCCAUCUGAUGCUUCAAUCACAUCGUCUGCAAACCUGAUCCAAC
rnacentral:lncRNA from 1 species